GACGAACGCUGGCGGCGUGCUUAACACAUGCAAGUCGAACGGAAAGGCCCUGCUUUUGUGGGGUGCUCGAGUGGCGAACGGGUGAGUAACACGUGAGUAACCUGCCCUUGACUUUGGGAUAACUUCAGGAAACUGGGGCUAAUACCGGAUAGGAGCUCCUGCUGCAUGGUGGGGGUUGGAAAGUUUCGGCGGUUGGGGAUGGACUCGCGGCUUAUCAGCUUGUUGGUGGGGUAGUGGCUUACCAAGGCUUUGACGGGUAGCCGGCCUGAGAGGGGGACCGGCCACAUUGGGACUGAGGUACGGCCCAGACUCCUACGGGCGGCAGCAGUCGGGAGUAUUGCACAAUGGGCGGAAGCCUGAUGCAGCAACGCCGCGUGCGGGAUGACGGCCUUCGGGUUGUAAACCGCUUUCGCCUGUGACGAAGCGUGAGUGACGGUAAUGGGUAAAGAAGCACCGGCUAACUACGUG
rnacentral:rRNA from 1 species